rnacentral:misc_RNA from 1 species
UCUCCGUUGGUGAACCAGCGGAGGGAUCAUUAUCGAGUUUAUAACUCCCAAACCCUAUGUGAACUUACCACUUGUUGCUUCGGCGCGCGCUUCGCCGCCGCCGAGGACACUUAAACUCUUUGUUUUUAUAAGCAUUUCUGAGUGGCCGAAAGGCAAAAUACAAAUGAAUCAAAACUUUCAACAACGGAUCUCUUGGUUCUG